rnacentral:rRNA from 1 species
UUAUAUUCCUUUUUAUCAAAAGAUAAAAAGGGAAAGAUUUAUUGGUAAGAGAUUAGCCUGUAUUGUAUCAGUUAGUUGGUGGGGUAAUGGCCUACCAAGACGAUGACGCAUAACUGGUUUGAGAGGAUGAUCAGUCACACUGGAACUGAGACACGGUCCAGACUCCUACGGGAGGCAGCAGUGGGGAAUAUUGCACAAUGGACGAAAGUCUGAUGCAGCAACGCCGCGUGGAGGAUGACACAUUUCGGUGCGUAAACUCCUUUUAUAUAAGAAGAUAAUGACGGUAUUAUAUGAAUAAGCACCGGCUAACUCCGUGCCAGCAGCCGCGGUAAUACGGAGGGUGCAAGCGUUACUCGGAAUCACUGGGCGUAAAGAGCGUGUAGGCGGAUUGAUAAGUUUGAAGUGAAAUCCUAUAGCUUAACUAUAGAACUGCUUUGAAAACUGUUAAUCUAGAAUGUGGGAGAGGUAGAUGGAAUUUCUGGUGUAGGGGUAAAAUCCGUAGAGAUCAGAAGGAAUACCGAUUGCGAAGGCGAUCUACUGGAACAAUAUUGACGCUGAGACGCGAAAGCGUGGGGAGCAAACAGGAUUAGAUACCCUGGUAGUCCACGCCCUAAACGAUGUACACUAGUUGUUGUGAGGCUCGACCUUGCAGUAAUGCAGUUAACACAUUAAGUGUACCGCCUGGGGAGUACGGUCGCAAGAUUAAAACUCAAAGGAAUAGACGGGGACCCGCACAAGCGGUGGAGCAUGUGGUUUAAUUCGACGAUACACGAAGAACCUUACCUGGACUUGACAUAGUAAGAAUGAUUUAGAGAUAGAUUAGUGUCUGCUUGCAGAAACUUGCAUACAGGUGCUGCACGGCUGUCGUCAGCUCGUGUCGUGAGAUGUUGGGUUAAGUCCCGCAACGAGCGCAACCCUCGUCCUUAGUUGCUAACAGUUCGGCUGAGAACUCUAAGGAGACUGCCUACGCAAGUAGGAGGAAGGUGAGGAUGACGUCAAGUCAUCAUGGCCCUUACGUCCAGGGCUACACACGUGCUACAAUGGGGUAUACAAAGAGCAGCAAUACGGUGACGUGGAGCAAAUCUCAAAAAUGCCUCCCAGUUCGGAUUGUA